rnacentral:misc_RNA from 1 species
AAUUCUCAAAUCAAUUUAUUGGUUUGGACUUGAGGGUUAAUUGUUGGCCUUGUUGUCGACUCCCUUUAAAUGCAUGAGUGGCUUAUCCAUUAUUAUUGGUGUGAUAGAAUUUUAUCUACAUCAUUUAGAAUGGCAAAUGUAGCUGCUAUCUAAUCGUCGAAAGACAAUUUGAACC